AGUGAACGCUGGUGGUAGGCCUAACACAUGCAAGUCGAACGGCAGCACAGUAAGAGCUUGCUCUUACGGGUGGCGAGUGGCGGACGGGUGAGGAAUACAUCGGAAUCUACUUUUUCGUGGGGGAUAACGUAGGGAAACUUACGCUAAUACCGCAUACGACCUACGGGUGAAAUCAGGGGAUCUUCGGACCUUGCGCGAUUCAAUGAGCCGAUGUCGGAUUAGCUAGUUGGCGGGGUAAGGGCCCACCAAGGCGACGAUCCGUAGCUGGGCUGAGAGGAUGAUCAGCCACACUGGAACUGAGACACGGUCCAGACUCCUACGGGAGGCAGCAGUGGGGAAUAUUGGACAAUGGGCGCAAGCCUGAUCCAGCCAUACCGCGUGGGUGAAGAAGGCCUUCGGGUUGUAAAGCCCUUUUGUUGGGAAAGAAAAGCAGCAGGUUAAUACCCCGCUGUUCUGACGGUACCCAAAGAAUAAGCACCGGCUAACUUCGUG
rnacentral:rRNA from 1 species